rnacentral:rRNA from 1 species
GACGAACGCUGGCGGCGUGCUUAACACAUGCAAGUCGAACGGAAAGGCCCUGCUUUUGUGGGGUGCUCGAGUGGCGAACGGGUGAGUAACACGUGAGUAACCUGCCCUUGACUUUGGGAUAACUUCAGGAAACUGGGGCUAAUACCGGAUAGGAGCUCCUGCUGCAUGGUGGGGGUUGGAAAGUUUCGGCGGUUGGGGAUGGACUCGCGGCUUAUCAGCUUGUUGGUGGGGUAGUGGCUUACCAAGGCUUUGACGGGUAGCCGGCCUGAGAGGGUGACCGGCCACGUUGGGACUGCGAUACGGACCAGACUCCUACGGGAGGCAGCAGUGGGGAAUAUUGCACAAUGGGCGGAAGCCUGAUGCAGCAACGCCGCGUGCGGGAUGACGGCCUUCGGGUUGUGAACCGCUUUCGCCUGUGACGAAGCGUGAGUGACGGUAAUGGGUAAAGAAGCACCGGCUAACUACGUG